AAUAGUGUGCCUGAUGAAAAGGGUUACCUUGAUAGGGUAAAUUAUGUAGAAAACUCCCACUAUUA
rnacentral:tRNA from 1 species